rnacentral:rRNA from 1 species
GGGUUGUGAGGUUAAGCGACUAAGCGUACACGGUGGAUGCCCUGGCAGUCAGAGGCGAUGAAGGACGUGCUAAUCUGCGAAAAGCGUCGGUAAGGUGAUAUGAACCGUUAUAACCGGCGAUGUCCGAAUGGGGAAACCCAGUGUGAUUCGUCACACUAUCGUUAACUGAAUACAUAGGUUAACGAGGCGAACCGGGGGAACUGAAACAUCUAAGUACCCCGAGGAAAAGAAAUCAACCGAGAUUCCCCCAGUAGCGGCGAGCGAACGGGGAGCAGCCCAGAGUCUGAAUCAGCUUGUGUGUUAGUGGAACGGUCUGGAAAGUCCGACGGUACAGGGUGAUAGUCCCGUACACCAAAAUGCACAGGUUGUGAACUCGAAGAGUAGGGCGGGACACGUGGUAUCCUGUCUGAAUAUGGGGGGACCAUCCUCCAAGGCUAAAUACUCCUGACUGACCGAUAGUGAACCAGUACCGUGAGGGAAAGGCGAAAAGAACCCCGGCGAGGGGAGUGAAAAAGAACCUGAAACCGUGUACGUACAAGCAGUGGGAGCACCUUCGGGUGUGACUGCGUACCUUUUGUAUAAUGGGUCAGCGACUUAUAUUCUGUAGCAAGGUUAACCGUAUAGGGGAGCCGCAGGGAAACCGAGUCUUAACUGGGCGUUAAGUUGCAGGGUAUAGACCCGAAACCCGGUGAUCUAGCCAUGGGCAGGUUGAAGGUUGGGUAACACUAACUGGAGGACCGAACCGACUAAUGUUGAAAAAUUAGCGGAUGACUUGUGGCUGGGGGUGAAAGGCCAAUCAAACCGGGAGAUAGCUGGUUCUCCCCGAAAGCUAUUUAGGUAGCGCCUCGUGAACUCAUCUUCGGGGGUAGAGCACUGUUUCGGCUAGGGGGUCAUCCCGACUUACCAACCCGAUGCAAACUACGAAUACCGAAGAAUGUUAUCACGGGAGACACACGGCGGGUGCUAACGUCCGUCGUGAAGAGGGAAACAACCCAGACCGCCAGCUAAGGUCCCAAAGUCAUGGUUAAGUGGGAAACGAUGUGGGAAGGCACAGACAGCCAGGAUGUUGGCUUAGAAGCAGCCAUCAUUUAAAGAAAGCGUAAUAGCUCACUGGUCGAGUCGGCCUGCGCGGAAGAUGUAACGGGGCUAAACCAUGCACCGAAGCUGCGGCAGCGACACUAUGUGUUGUUGGGUAGGGGAGCGUUCUGUAAGCCUGCGAAGGUGUGCUGUGAGGCAUGCUGGAGGUAUCAGAAGUGCGAAUGCUGACAUAAGUAACGAUAAAGCGGGUGAAAAGCCCGCUCGCCGGAAGACCAAGGGUUCCUGUCCAACGUUAAUCGGGGCAGGGUGAGUCGACCCCUAAGGCGAGGCCGAAAGGCGUAGUCGAUGGGAAACAGGUUAAUAUUCCUGUACUUGGUGUUACUGCGAAGGGGGGACGGAGAAGGCUAUGUUAGCCGGGCGACGGUUGUCCCGGUUUAAGCAUGUAGGCUGGUUGUCCAGGCAAAUCCGGAUAAUCAAGGCUGAGGUGUGAUGACGAGGUACUACGGUGCUGAAGUAACAAAUGCCCUGCUUCCAGGAAAAGCCUCUAAGCAUCAGGUAACAUCAAAUCGUACCCCAAACCGACACAGGUGGUCAGGUAGAGAAUACCAAGGCGCUUGAGAGAACUCGGGUGAAGGAACUAGGCAAAAUGGUGCCGUAACUUCGGGAGAAGGCACGCUGGUGUGUAGGUGAAGUCCCUGCGGAUGGAGCUGAGACCAGUCGAAGAUACCAGCUGGCUGCAACUGUUUAUUAAAAACACAGCACUGUGCAAACACGAAAGUGGACGUAUACGGUGUGACGCCUGCCCGGUGCCGGAAGGUUAAUUGAUGGGGUUAUCCGUAAGGAGAAGCUCUUGAUCGAAGCCCCGGUAAACGGCGGCCGUAACUAUAACGGUCCUAAGGUAGCGAAAUUCCUUGUCGGGUAAGUUCCGACCUGCACGAAUGGCGUAAUGAUGGCCAGGCUGUCUCCACCCGAGACUCAGUGAAAUUGAACUCGCUGUGAAGAUGCAGUGUACCCGCGGCAAGACGGAAAGACCCCGUGAACCUUUACUAUAGCUUGACACUGAACAUUGAGCCUUGAUGUGUAGGAUAGGUGGGAGGCUUUGAAGCGUGGACGCCAGUCUGCGUGGAGCCAACCUUGAAAUACCACCCUUUAAUGUUUGAUGUUCUAACGUUGGCCCCUUAUCGGGGUUGCGGACAGUGUCUGGUGGGUAGUUUGACUGGGGCGGUCUCCUCCCAAAGCGUAACGGAGGAGCACGAAGGUUAGCUAAUCCUGGUCGGACAUCAGGAGGUUAGUGCAAUGGCAUAAGCUAGCUUGACUGCGAGCGUGACGGCGCGAGCAGGUGCGAAAGCAGGUCAUAGUGAUCCGGUGGUUCUGAAUGGAAGGGCCAUCGCUCAACGGAUAAAAGGUACUCCGGGGAUAACAGGCUGAUACCGCCCAAGAGUUCAUAUCGACGGCGGUGUUUGGCACCUCGAUGUCGGCUCAUCACAUCCUGGGGCUGAAGUAGGUCCCAAGGGUAUGGCUGUUCGCCAUUUAAAGUGGUACGCGAGCUGGGUUUAGAACGUCGUGAGACAGUUCGGUCCCUAUCUGCCGUGGGCGCUGGAGAAUUGAGGGGGGCUGCUCCUAGUACGAGAGGACCGGAGUGGACGCAUCACUGGUGUUCGGGUUGUCAUGCCAAUGGCACUGCCCGGUAGCUAAAUGCGGAAGAGAUAAGUGCUGAAAGCAUCUAAGCACGAAACUUGCCCCGAGAUGAGUUCUCCCUGAGACUUUAAGUCUCCUGAAGGAACGUUAAAGACGAUGACGUUGAUAGGCCGGGUGUGUAAGCGCAGCGAUGCGUUGAGCUAACCGGUACUAAUGAACCGUGAGGCUUAACCUUACAACGCCGAAG